CUGUUUCCUUUUCUCUUUCUCGAUAGACCUCAGAAGACCACCGUCGCCGCCGUUUUCAAACCACCGUCGCUGCCGCCGUUCAGUUGUAAGUUGUAACCCAUAGCCGAAAUUCUUUUCCAUCUCCACCAUUCGUUCAUCACCAUUAACCACCACCACCACUGGCCUUUUUUUCUUCUUUCAAAUCUAUGUCUCCGGCGGCCAUGAG
rnacentral:lncRNA from 1 species